rnacentral:sRNA from 1 species
AGAACCAGUCAGGCAAGGACACCAGCCCUGUGGUGGCCAGUCUGCUGCAGAAAGUGUCCUAUAAGGCCAAGCGCUGGAUCCACGACGUACGGACCAUCGCAGAGGUGGAGGGUGCGGGCGUCAAGGCCUGGCGGCGGGCGCAGUGGCACGAGCAGAUCCUGGUGCCUGCCUUGCCCCAGUCGGCCCUGCCGGGCUGCAGCCUCAUCCACAUCGACUACUACUUACAGGUCUCUCUGAAGGCGCCGGAAGCUACGGUGACCCUCCCGGUCUUCAUUGGCAAUAUUGCUGUGAACCAUGCCCCAUUGAGCCCCCGGCCAGGCCUGGGGCUGCCUCCUGGGGCCCCACCCCUGGUGGUGCCUUCCGCACCACCCCAGGAGGAGGCUGAGGCUGCGGCUGGCGGCCUCCAAUUCUUGGACCCCGUCUUCCUCUCCACCAAGAGCCAUUCGCAGCAGCAGCCCCUGCUGGCCACCUUGAGUUCUGUGCCUGGUGCGCCCGAGCCCUGUCCUCAGGAUGGCAGCCCUGCCUCACACCCGCUGCACCCUCCCUUGUGCAUUUCAACAGAGGCCCCACCGUCUUAUGAGCAGAGCUGCGGCGGCGUGGACCCCAGCCUGACCCCUGAGAGCUGACCCCGUGCUGCCUUCUCAAGGCAGGCCUGGCCUCUGCCCUGGGACUGGGGCGCCCAGGGCCUCGUGCCUUCUCUCUCGGCCUGGCCUGGCCCACUCAGGACCUGCCCAGCCUCUGCCAGCUCCUCUGGCAUCCGCCCUCUUCUCCGUGGGGCUGGGGUGGGGGUGGCAGGGAGCUGGGACCUGGAGAGACGACUCCUGUAAAUAAAACACUUUAUUUGUAGA